ACCUAAUCCAAGGUUGAGCAAUCCACCUAAGAAUGUGCACGGCGAGCAAGUAGCGGCUGGAUGGCCAUCCUGGCUCUCUGAGGUAGCUGGAGAGGCUAUCAAUGGAUGGAUUCCACGAAGGGCAGAUGCAUUUGAGAAGCUGGCUAAGAUUGGGCAAGGUACUUAUAGCAAUGUGUAUAAAGCUAGAGAUAAUCUCACGGGGAACAUCGUUGCAUUAAAGAAGGUUAGAUUUGAUAAUUUGGAGCCAGAGAGUGUGAAGUUUAUGGCAAGAGAGAUCUUGAUUUUGCGCCGCUUGGAUCAUCCAAAUGUUAUUACAUUGCAAGGAUUGGUUACAUCAAGGAUGUCUUGUAGCUUGUACCUUGUGUUUGAUUAUAUGGAUCAUGAUUUAGCUGGACUAGCAGCAAGCCCUGGAGUCAAGUUCACAGAGGCUCAGGUUAAAUGUUA
rnacentral:misc_RNA from 1 species